GCCGACGAAGCGCGCCAGCGCGCGCAGGUCGUCCACCGAGUUGUUGUAGGGCGUGCCCGUCACGCACCAGCGGCGUUGCGCGCGCAGGGCCAGCGCCGCCUCGUGGCAUCCGCUGGCUGCCGCGCGAAUGCGAUGGGCCUCGUCGAGCACCACGCGAAACCAGGUCACCUCGAAUGCACGGCACCGGCCCGCCAUUGCCGCCGAGACGUAUUCGUGCCGCAUGGUCUCGUAGGUGGUGAGCACAAAGCGCGGCAGGACGUGGUCGCUCGCUUGAUGGCUGUCGCUGCGGCUGCAGCCCUCGUUGCCGUUGUCACCGUCUCUGCUGCUGCUGUCGCCGCCAACGUCGCCGCCGUCGACGCGUGACAGAAAAGAGGCCAGUGCGAUGUGCCGGUCCGCGCCGUGGUAGACGACGACGGACGACCGGGGCGGUGCGUGUCGGCCAAUUUGAAGGCGCCACUGGUCCAAGAGGCACAGUGGCGUCACUACGAGCGUCGCGGCUGAUCUCGGCGUAGGUAAAGCGCCUGCCCGCGCCCAGAGGGCGGCCGCGCCUGCCGUCGAUGUCGCCAGUGCGAUGCAGUCGAGGGUCUUGCCCAUGCCCAUGUCGUCGGCCAGCACGCCGCCGCCGCCAUCUGACGUCUCGCGCGUCCGCAUCCAUUCGACGGCCUCGAUCUGGUGCGGCAGGAGCGUCGUUGCCAGGACGCUUCGCCAGUCCCGCCCAUCGCCCAUCGGGAUAAUG
rnacentral:lncRNA from 1 species